AUCUUCCUCGCGAACUCGUAUUUUUGCCCAAAUUGAUAAAAGGGUCCCGCGCGUAACAAGCACGUGCUUGGUGUCGUUGGGCCACUUGUUUGUACUGCUCGUAGUGCAUCAACGUCCAUCAAUAAUAAUUUCAGCAAUAGCCAGCGGAAUGUUUUCUGCGGAGAAUGAUUUCUCCAUUGCGGCUGAAAAAUUGGCCAAGGAAGAGAGUUCAGGCAAGUGUUGUAGAAAUGGAAUCCCAGCUAUUGAGAGCCAACAAUGUGCUCGGAAAAGUAACGCCCCUGGAAUUUCAGAAAGUUAGAUCGGCAUGGCCCUUAAAAUGUUCGGUUAAGCAGAAAUGCUUUUAAUGUGUUGGUGCAAUCGUUGCCUGGUCUUGCGAAGGACACAAACUGGAGAUUGUCUAUUCCUUUAGAAAAAAGGAUAGCAAUAUCUCUUUUUACGAUGGGCUCAUCUGCUGAGUUCCGAAUAGUUGAAAGGCUGUUUGGUGUUUCACCAUCAACAAUUUGCGGAAUACUGCAUGAAUUUUGCAAUAAGGCUUGGCGGAAGUUGGCACCAAAGUACCUUCCUGCAGCCUUCUUAGCCCAGGAGAAUGUUGAGAAUAACGUGGCAGGUUUCCAUGCUCUUGGAUUUCCUCACCGCUUUGGAGCCAUAGAUGGAUGCCAUAUAGAAAUAAGUCCUCCCAAAAAUUACGCUGUCGAUUUUUAUAACUACAUGGAAUUGUACUCUGUAAUUCUUUUGGCUUUAGUAGACCAUAGAUACCAGUUUAGAUAUGUAUGGAGAUGUUGGUGCUCCAGGCAGGUGUAACGAUUCUCAAUUGUACGAGCCAUUCGAUCUAAAGGCACUCAUUAAUGGAUCGAACAUCUUUGAAUCUAAUGCCAAAGAAAUUGAGGGGAUCAUGGUGCCAAUUAAUAUUUUGGGCGAUUCGGCAUUUCGAUUCUCUAAAAACUUAAUGAAGCCCUAUCCAUUCUCGGCAACUGCUGAACCAAGGGAAAAGAAGUUCAACUACCACCUAUCAACUAAGUGCCGACGGGUGGUUGAGAAUGCCUUUGAUCAUUUAAAGGCCCGAUUUCGGAGACUUGGAAAAGGUCUUGAGCUUUCUCCGAUAAAUGUAAACUUGUUAAUAAAAUGCGCUUGCGUUUUACACAACUUCAUUACUAAAACGGCAGGUGAACAUUUGGAUAAUGCGGAACAAUUUCAACAUGAACACCCGGAGGACGUCAGAGUUCAACCCAAUUCGGACAUGACCAUAGGAGACCGCAGAAGAGAGGCCGAAAUUAUAAGAGAAGCCCUUGCUUUGCAUUUCCAACUAUUUGCUAUUUCCUGGAUUAUACUAAGGAACCUAUUUUGGAAGAAUAUGUUAUCUUCCAACUGUCGAUCCAUUUGCUCAGUUGGACGAACUGCCUUCUCGGCAAGGACAGCAAUGCUUUCAUCAGCGCGUAUUCCUA